GUGCCCUUGAGGCGUGGCUUCCGGAGCUAACGCGUUAAGUCGACCGCCUGGGGAGUACGGCCGCAAGGUUAAAACUCAAAUGAAUUGACGGGGGCCCGCACAAGCGGUGGAGCAUGUGGUUUAAUUCGAUGCAACGCGAAGAACCUUACCUACUCUUGACAUCCAGAGAAUUCGCUAGAGAUAGCUUAGUGCCUUCGGGAACUCUGAGACAGGUGCUGCAUGGCUGUCGUCAGCUCGUGUUGUGAAAUGUUGGGUUAAGUCCCGCAACGAGCGCAACCCUUAUCCUUUGUUGCCAGCACGUAAUGGUGGGAACUCAAAGGAGACUGCCGGUGAUAAACCGGAGGAAGGUGGGGAUGACGUCAAGUCAUCAUGGCCCUUACGAGUAGGGCUACACACGUGCUACAAUGGCGUAUACAAAGAGAAGCGAACUCGCGAGAGCCAGCGGACCUCAUAAAGUACGUCGUAGUCCGGAUCGGAGUCUGCAACUCGACUCCGUGAAGUCGGAAUCGCUAGUAAUCGUAGAUCAGAAUGCUACGGUGAAUACGUUCCCGGGCCUUGCACUCACCGCCCGUCAAAA
rnacentral:rRNA from 1 species